rnacentral:lncRNA from 1 species
CCCACACAGGCAGGCAGUCCACCCCAGAGGUAGCGGUUCCUGCCCUAGAAAGGGUGGGCCUAGGAGACCCAAACCCCAGAAGGAGGGAGGGUGGUGGGCGCCCUGCAUCCAGACUCAGCGAGACGUGAAGAUUCUGUAACCCUCAGUGACCCUGGUUCCAGGUGGAAGCUGGCGCCUCUGUUAUCAGUGGCUCCAUCGGGGACUGGACCCAGCCCAGACUUCUUGGUCUGACAAUUGCCCACAGAUCAGCCAGGGGAUAGUCAGUCCUCUCACUACCUAGGAGUGUCUGAAGAUGCGCCCCUGCCCUGCCUAUGCUCGGCAACUCGCCAAAAGUGGCCGCUCCAUUGCCCCAAGUAGGGGCCCGCCGGUCCCGCAGGCCUAAGCAGCCAAAGCUUCCCAGAGCCCCUCCUCUCAGAGGGGCUGAAGCCCGUCAGCCAGAACAUAGGUUCAGGUGCCCAGUCCUGGAGCGGCUUCCAGGGCGCGGAGGCUGCCCCUGGGGGCGCCCAGAGCCCGGGAACCAGCGCCGCCUAUGAGCAGGUCUUCCUCCUCCUCAUCCUCAAAGGCCCGCGCUGGGCGCCGGGGCGGAGGCCGGUGCGUGGGCUCGUCGCGCUCCGCCAUGCGCUCGACGGCGCCUUCGCCCACGAGGAACACGGUGUCCGCGACGCGCGGAGGCCCGGUGACGGGGUUGUGGUCGUAGGAGAAGACGCGCAGCGCGCGCAGCGGUGCAGGUCGGGGAAGCCGCCCAGGCGGUUGCGGUCGAGGUCGAGGAUGUGCAGGCGGCCCAUGCGCAGCAGCGCGGGCGGGAACUCCUCGAAGCGGUUGCCGUAGAGCCAGAGGCCGCGCAAGCCCGUCAUGCGCGGCAGCUCCGCCGGCAGCGCGCGCAGCCGGUUGUCGCCCAUCUGGAGCGACUGCAGCGCCACCAGGCGCAGCAGCGGCCGCGGGAAGCGCCGCAAGAAGUUGCCCUCGAUCCAGAGGCAGCGCAGGCUCUGCAACUGCGCGAAGUCGGCGGGCAGCGCCAGCAGCCGGUUGC